GGAUAAAAGUCGAACAAGGUUUCCGUAGGUGAACCUGCGGAAGGAUCAUUAUUGUAUAACCGAGGUGCGAGGGCUGUCGCUGACCCGAAAGGUCGUGCACGCCCGAGUGCCCUCACACACAUCCAUCUCACCCCUAUGUGCACCACCGCGUGGGUCCCCCUUUGGCUUGUUCGGAGGGGGGCUUACGUUUUCACACAAACUUUGUAUGCAGUGUAGAAUGUAUUUUUUGUUUUUGCGAUCACGCAAUCAAUACAACUUUCAACAACGGAUCUCUUGGCUCUC
rnacentral:misc_RNA from 1 species